AAGAAAAAAAAAAUCAAAAAGUGCACAACAAAAGAAAAAAAAUGGAAAUAUAACUACCCAAAAUAUUUUGUUUCCAUAAAUUUGUUUGAAAAUUUCUUAUACAUAGAGUACCCUAGAACUUCCGAUCUUCUUCUUCUCCUUCUUCUUGUUUUUCUCUGUUUUUACUUCUUUCAAUCUCCUCCUUCUUUCUUUUUCUCUUUUAACUUCUUUUAAACCGAUCGGGAUAUCAUCAAAAUUCGCCGCCUCCACCACCAAAUCCCGUUUAACCACUCUCAUAAAAUCAAAAUACAUAUCACGGUUGUAGAGAUCAUUUAAAAGGUAAAGAAGACAAACUAAUCCUUCAAGUGAAAUAGAAGAAUAUAUUUGAGUCUCACCAUCCAAGAAUGGAUCAAUUCAAGUCCCAGAGAAACAACUAUGAGGAUGUAAUGUCAAAGAUAAGACUCUUCACUGUUGAGAGAAAACAAUUUAGUGAUGGAUUUGUAGAAAAAAUUGAUUAAAUUGUAUGGUUAUAUACUUUUUUUUUCUUUUCUUUUUGUUAAGAAUAUUGUAAGUUACAUUUUGCAGGAAAUUAUAAUAUCAUUUCUACUCA